rnacentral:rRNA from 1 species
ACUCCUACGGGAGGCAGCAGUGGGAAUCUUGGACAAUGGGCAACCCGUGAUCCAGCCAUGCCGCGUGAGUGAUGAAGGCCUUAGGGUCGUAAAGCUCUUUCGCCUGUGAAGAUAAUGACGGUAGCAGGUAAAGAAACCCCGCGUACAUCCGUGCCAGCAGCCGCGGUAAUACGGAGGGGGUUAGCGUUGUUCGGAAUUACUGGGCGUAAAGCGCACGUAGGCGGAUCGGAAAGUUGGGGGUGAAAUCCCGGGGCUCAA